AGAGUUUGAUCCUGGCUCAGAUUGAACGCUGGCGGCAUGCCUUACACAUGCAAGUCGAACGGCAGCACGGGAGCAAUCCUGGUGGCGAGUGGCGAACGGGUGAGUAAUAUAUCGGAACGUGCCCAGUCGUGGGGGAUAACGCAGCGAAAGCUGUGCUAAUACCGCAUACGAUCUACGGAUGAAAGCGGGGGAUCGCAAGACCUCGCGCGAUUGGAGCGGCCGAUAUCAGAUUAGCUAGUUGGUGGGGUAAAAGCCCACCAAGGCGACGAUCUGUAGCUGGUCUGAGAGGACGACCAGCCACACUGGAACUGAGACACGGUCCAGACUCCUACGGGAGGCAGCAGUGGGGAAUUUUGGACAAUGGGCGCAAGCCUGAUCCAGCAAUGCCGCGUGCAGGAUGAAGGCCUUCGGGUUGUAAACUGCUUUUGUACGGAACGAAACGGCCUUUUCUAAUAAAGAGGGCUAAUGACGGUACCGUAAGAAUAAGCACCGGCUAACUACGUGCCAGCAGCCGCGGUAAUACGUAGGGUGCGAGCGUUAGUCGGAAUUACUGGGCGUAAAGCGUGCGCAGGCGGUUAUAUAAGACAGAUGUGAAAUCCCCGGGCUCAACCUGGGACCUGCAUUUGUGACUGUAUAGCUAGAGUACGGUAGAGGGGGAUGGAAUUCCGCGUGUAGCAGUGAAAUGCGUAGAUAUGCGGAGGAACACCGAUGGCGAAGGCAAUCCCCUGGACCUGUACUGACGCCCAUGCACGAAAGCGUGGGGAGCAAACAGGAUUAGUUACCCUGGUAGUCCACGCCCUAAACGAUGUCAACUGGUUGUUGGGUCUUCACUGACUCAGUAACGAAGCUAACGCGUGAAGUUGACCGCCUGGGGAGUACGGCCGCAAGGUUGAAACUCAAAGGAAUUGACGGGGACCCGCACAAGCGGUGGAUGAUGUGGUUUAAUUCGAUGCAACGCGAAAAACCUUACCCACCUUUGACAUGUACGGAACUCGCCAGAGAUGGCUUGGUGCUCGAAAGAGAGCCGUAACACAGGUGCUGCAUGGCUGUCGUCAGCUCGUGUCGUGAGAUGUUGGGUUAAGUCCCGCAACGAGCGCAACCCUUGUCAUUAGUUGCUACAUUUAGUUGGGCACUCUAAUGAGACUGCCGGUGACAAACCGGAGGAAGGUGGGGAUGACGUCAAGUCCUCAUGGCCCUUAUAGGUGGGGCUACACACGUCAUACAAUGGCUGGUACAAAGGGUUGCCAACCCGCGAGGGGGAGCUAAUCCCAUAAAGCCAGUCGUAGUCCGGAUCGCAGUCUGCAACUCGACUGCGUGAAGUCGGAAUCGCUAGUAAUCGUGGAUCAGAAUGUCACGGUGAAUACGUUCCCGGGUCUUGUACACACCGCCCGUCACACCAUGGGAGCGGGUUCUGCCAGAAGUAGUUAGCCUAACCGCAAGGAGGGCGAUUACCACGGCAGGGUUCGUGACUGGGGUGAAGUCGUAACAAGGUA
rnacentral:rRNA from 1 species